ACUUCAAUGGAUUCUAAAAAAACAUUAAUGUGACUAGCGCCUCACCAAUUCCCCAUGCAGCGUAUUCCUCUCCCUAUUCAUCUUCUCCAAUCUCCAUCAAAUCCCACUAUGCAAUUACUCCAUCGAUUCAGUUACUCUUACCAUCUGCUAUAUAUCCCCGGGCCGCAUGCGAUUUGGCAAGGUAUAUGCGAUGGCGGUCGUCCCUCCUUGCGAUGAGAUCCGUAGGCGGUCUUACCCGCCCUGCCUCCGGCUUCCCCGGCAUAGGAACAGCCGCCCUGGAAGAAGAGCCCCUCGCGGUGGAUUCCACUACACCGACAUUGACCCUGGCCACUCCCGGCGAUUACCAUGCGGUCGCGUGUCAGGUGCCUCGACAGAAGGCCGGGAAGGCUCCCCAUGGAGUGGCCAACCCUGCUCGGUGUCGCGCAUCCGCCGCUCAACUUCCCCACCCCGCAUUAGGCGUUCGCAGUUUCUUUCAAGAAUCAAGACUACCAUGGACAAUCAAAGUCAGUAUAUAAAUAAUAUUUCAACUCAUGUACGCCUAAAGUAUUGUCUACAUGUUGCCAUGAAAAUAGUAGCUACAUGGAUCAUCAGAUUAAGGUAAAUGCAUAUCUCAAUACAUCAUGCUUAUUAUAAUUUCUAAUUGUCGUUUUGUGGGGAGUAGGAAAUACAGAAGUGCAUUAGUAAGAAAUUUGUACAAAAGUCCGACUUACAGCUAUUUGUGGUCGUUAUUAGAAGGGCAAAGGGAGAUUCCUAACUCUGAUGGUCACAAACAUAGUCUAAGUAUCAGGGGCAAUAACCACCCUGCAAGGCUCCAAAAAGGUAUUUGUUUCCCUUACCAUGUCCAUGAUGUAGCUCUGAUGACUAAGUAAAGUUCUGUCACUUUGCACACGUAAUCCUCUCCCUUUCUUUUGCGUGUCUGUGAUCAUACACUCAGGUUUUUCUUUCUAUUUUGUUAAUCAUUCAUGCCUGAUGCUUUUUCAUUCCUUCCCCUCCCCUCUCACUGUUGUUCAUCAGGAUUGUCGCAACUACCUGCGUCUUGGUUCCGGUUCAACCUUCUGACCGCAGGGCAUUGCUUCUACUGCAAAGAUUAACACUAUACUUCGUAUGAUAUAAGAUAACCCUGUCAAGAAUUUUAUGUUUAAUAUAGUCGCUUUGUGAUUAUCUCUAUUCUACAGUCUGGAUGUUCAAGCAAUAACAUGGUUUGCUUCUUUAUUCUUGCAUGUAUACAACACUUUAUAGCCAUUCUUUUAUAUUUUAACCAAAUACAUAUAAUCUCACACAACACUGACAGCCGACGACCUUCUCUACUCUUGAAUCGAUAUGAAUGACCAAUGAAGAUUUUAAUUUCCAAAUACAUAUUCUAUUUAUCAGCCCUUUGGUUAUAUUGUCAUAGAAUAUAGUGACAAGCUUGAAAGAAGACAUAAGUGGAUGUCUUAGAUAUGAAUGGCAUAAAAGUUAGUCGUAUGUAGUGUGUUUCUGACAAAUUAAGUGUAUGUGCCAUUUUUUUCAAUUGUUACCGUAAGUAUACAUGUUAUCAAUCAUAUAGAAACGAUUCAUCCUUAAAUACUUUUUUAAACUAUGAUAACUUAAUACUAUGAUCCGAUGUUCUAGCAAUAACAUGGUUUAUUCGUUUGUGCAGAACCAAACAUGUACACCUUGCAGUCUAGGCAUUGUUUUAUAUUAUUCCCAUAUAUCAAUAUGAGUUCACACAACACUGAUGGCCGACAACCUUCUCUACCCUUGGAUUAGGAUCCCACAUAUGAUUGAUGGGUGAAGAUUUUUUUCUCUACACUUGCAUCGAGCUAAUUUUUAUCAUUGUAGAACUUCAGUCAAGAAGACAGUUAACUUAUAUUUUGUUUUCAUUUAGAAUAUGGUUUGUCAAUUCUAGCUUAUAAGCCUUUUAUAUGGAAUUCCAUGGAUCCUAUAUUUCUAUUCAGACAACAUUGGCAGCCUUUAAUUC